GAAUCAAAUAUCUUCAACUGUUUUUCUCCAUCUCCUUCCUUUUACUUGCACCUUGAGGUCUCGACCUCCAAACAAUGGCAGGAAUGGCUUCCUCCACAUUCAGCCCCUCCUUCUGCUUCAGAUCUUUCGCUGUGGCCGCAUCGAACAAGGCUUCCUCUUCUUCUUCUUCUUCUUCUUCUUCUCCGGCGGCUUUCAAGCCACUCAAGCUUCCUCUCUUUUGGCCAUGGCAGAAGGUGAAGAUGGGCCCUCUCAGUGUAUCUCCAAUGGGAUUUGGAACCUGGGCGUGGGGGAACCAGCUCUUGUGGGGCUACCAGGAAUCUAUGGACGCUGAGCUUCAACAGAUUUUCAAUUUGGCUGUGGAGAACGGAAUCAAUCUCUUCGAUACGGCGGAUUCCUAUGGUACUGGAAGAUUAAAUGGCCAAAGCGAAAAGCUACUUGGAAAAUUCAUCCGAGAAUCUCAAGAGAAAAAUGACAUUGUGAUAGCCACCAAGUUUGCUGCGUAUCCAUGGCGCCUAACACCGGCCCAGUUUGUCAAAGCAUGCAAGGCGUCUUUAGAUCGGAUGCAGAUUGAGAAAAUUGGUAUAGGACAAUUACAUUGGUCAACAGCGAACUAUGCUCCUUUGCAAGAGAUGGCUCUUUGGGAUGGACUAGUGGCAAUGUAUGAUCAGGGCUUGGUUCAAGCAGUUGGAGUGAGCAAUUAUGGACCAAAGCAACUGGUGAAGAUACAUGACUACCUAAAAGAUCGAGGAGUUCCCUUAUGCUCUGCUCAGGUGCAAUUUUCUUUACUAAGCAUAGGAGACGAACAGUUGGAGACUAAGAAGAUAUGUGAUUCUUUGGGCAUCCGCUUAAUCGCUUACAGUCCUUUGGGGUUGGGAAUGCUUACAGGAAAAUACUCACCCUCCAAGCUUCCAUCUGGACCUCGAGGUCUUCUGUUCAGGCAAAUUCUACCAGGAUUGGAACCUUUACUGAGUACACUAGGAAACAUUGCAGAGAAAAGGCGCAAGACAAUACCACAAGUAACAGGUUGCUAUAAACUGGUGCAUAUCCAAGGGAACUAUACCCAUACCUGGAGCUAAGACAUUAAAACAAGCUCAAGAAAAUCUGGGGGCUCUUGGCUGGCGCCUUACACAAGAGGAAUCGAACCUGUUGGAGGAUGGAGCUCGAGCGUCCACCGGGAGGAUGAUACAGAAUGUUUUCCAGACCAGGUGAACUUGGCAGCACCAGGUGGGAUAAUGAUGAGAGAAUGAAGAACUCAAAGGCAAAAAGAAGGGCAUACUCUCCUUAUCCAGGGUCUAUUUAACCAUCCGGAUUUUGGUACCGCCAAUGCCCACAAAGCUGGAGAAAAAGAGGAAAAGGCACAGCACAGCAAAGGCAUUGGCAUAGGGUACUAAUUGCCUUAUUCUAUUCUAAUUCAGCUUGUCAUUCACUCAGUUUAGCCCUAAUGCUUCCAUUUAUAACAUCGAUUAAGUUUUUGUUUCAAUCAUCGUUAGAAAGGUUUCCAACGCAUGCCCAAAACCGAGUUCUUCUUAUUUGCUAUUUUUAAAUAAUAGCACGUGCAGGGCUUAGGAUCA